GAGGAGAGCCGGGCCGCCGCCGCCUCUGCAGCCCGCGGGUAACUGGGCCGUUGCCGCCGUCCGCGCUCGGCCCCCGCGGAGAGAUCGAGCUGAAGGACUGCGCGGCUGGCUCUCCUCUAGUAUGGCCAAUGAAGAGGAUGACCCAGUUGUACAGGAGAUCGAUGUGUACUUGGCCAAGAGUCUGGCGGAAAAGCUGUAUCUAUUUCAGUACCCUGUGCGUCCAGCCUCGAUGACCUAUGAUGACAUUCCGCACCUCUCAGCCAAGAUCAAGCCCAAGCAGCAGAAGGUAGAGCUUGAGAUGGCCAUCGACACCCUGAACCCCAACUAUUGCCGCAGCAAAGGGGAGCAGAUUGCGCUGAACGUGGACGGGGCCUGUGCCGAUGAGACCAGCACGUAUUCCUCGAAGCUGAUGGACAAGCAGACCUUCUGCUCUUCCCAGACCACCAGUAACACAUCCCGUUAUGCCGCUGCACUCUACAGGCAAGGUGAGCUCCACCUGACACCUUUACAUGGCAUCCUGCAGCUGCGGCCCAGCUUCUCCUACCUGGAUAAGGCUGACGCCAAGCACCGGGAGAGGGAGGCGGCCAACGAGGCAGGGGACUCUUCACAGGAUGAGGCGGAAGACGAUGUUAAGCAGAUCACGGUGCGGUUCUCCCGGCCGGAGUCAGAGCAGGCCCGCCAGCGCCGUGUGCAGUCCUAUGAGUUCCUGCAGAAGAAGCACGCAGAGGAGCCCUGGGUCCACCUGCAUUACUAUGGCCUGAGGGACAGUCGCUCUGAGCAUGAGCGUCAGUACCUGCUGUGCCCUGGCUCGAGCGGGGUGGAGAACACGGAGCUCGUCAAGUCACCCAGUGAGUACCUGAUGAUGCUGAUGCCACCCAGCCAGGAGGAGGAGAAGUGAGUAGAGGCAGCAGGACACCCUCUCCCUUUCCGGGCUGGCUGCCUCUAACCCAUCCCCUCUGCUUUUCCCAGAGACAAGCCUGUGGCCCCCAGCAACGUCCUGUCGAUGGCCCAGCUGCGCACGCUGCCCCUGGCCGAUCAGAUCAAGAUCCUGAUGAAGAAUGUGAAGGUCAUGCCUUUUGCCAACUUGAUGAGCCUCCUGGGCCCCUCCAUCGAUUCCGUGGCUGUUCUGCGGGGCAUCCAGAAGGUGGCGAUGUUGGUCCAAGGGAACUGGGUGGUGAAGAGUGACAUCCUAUACCCCAAGGACUCGUCCAGCCCUCACAGCGGCGUGCCUGCUGAGGUGCUCUGCAGGGGCCGAGACUUCGUUAUGUGGAAGUUCACGCAGAGCCGCUGGGUGGUUAGGAAAGAGGUGGCAACCGUGACCAAACUCUGCGCCGAGGAUGUGAAGGACUUCCUGGAGCACAUGGCCGUGGUGAGGAUCAACAAAGGCUGGGAGUUCAUUCUGCCUUAUGAUGGGGAGUUCAUCAAGAAACACCCGGAUGUGGUCCAGCGGCAGCACAUGCUGUGGACGGGUAUCCAGGCCAAACUGGAAAAAGUCUAUAAUCUUGUAAAGGAAACCAUGCCAAAGAAGCCGGAUGCACAAUCAGGGCCUGCCGGGCUGGUCUCUGGGGACCAGCGGAUCCAAGUAGCCAAAACCAAGGCCCAGCAGAACCACGCGUUGCUGGAGCGGGAGCUGCAGCGGCGGAAGGAGCAGCUGCGGGUGCCUGCGGUCCCGCCCGGUGUGCGGAUCAAGGAGGAGCCCGUGAGCGAGGAGGACGAGGAGCAGGAGGUGGAGGAGGAGCCCAUGGACACUUCCCCCAGCGGCCUCCACAGCAAGCUGGCCAACGGGCUGCCUCUCGGGCGGGCUGCGGGCACAGACAGCUUCAACGGGCACCCGCCCCAGGGCUGCGCCAGCACCCCUGUGGCUCGGGAACUGAAGGCCUUCGUGGAGGCCACCUUUCAGAGACAGUUUGUGCUCACGCUGAGCGAACUCAAGCGCCUCUUCAAUCUGCACUUGGCCAGCCUGCCCCCCGGCCACACACUCUUCAGCGGCAUCUCGGACCGCAUGCUACAGGACACGGUGCUGGCCGCCGGUUGCAAGCAGAUACUGGUGCCUGUAAGUAGAGCCCUGCCUGCCAGGGGCAUGGGGGGUGGGGGGUGGGGAGAACCAGCUGUUGGGAGGCCACGUGGGGACACGGGAGGCCAUGCUUGGUGAGCAUCUGCUCUCACGUGGGCCUAGGUGUGACAUGGGCAAGUCAGCCUCUCUGAGGCUCUAGUCUCAUGAAAUGGGAUCAUGUUGGGUUUUAUGUCACAGGACUGUGGUAGGGGCUAAAUACGGUGUCUGAAGGCCCGGCCUAUUGCCUGGCCUGCAGCAGGGCCUAGUGAAACAGGGCCCCUGCCUGGUUUCUCACCCUGUCCCCCACCAAGAACACCUGUUUCCUACUAGCUUUGCCAUUGUUUGGAAUGAUUUAACUUCUAAGAUCGUUUGAUCUUCUUUGCAAUCUGCAGAUGAAGAAACUGAGGCUCCAAGGAAUGAAAUGUACGUUUAAAGGUCACUACCUAGGAGGUAGUAGAGCUGGAAUUUGGACCUCAGUAUAGUGGCCUGGAGUUUUGAAUCCUUUCUGCUCAGCUAAGAUGAGCUGCUUCCCCACAGCUGCGCCACGCCCCAGCUUGGGCCUGGGUCCUGGCGGCCUCCCUGUGCAUCAGAAGCAAGCUGACCAGCUCAGCGCUGUGCUCUCAGCACUUCCAGUGCCAGGCCUUGAGUGUGGUAUUGCAAGCCUCCUGCCCCUUCCCCCUGGGCUGCUUUUCUGUCACUGGGAGGGGCCCUGACGGGGGAGCAGAGUGCUUGCUGGGGACUGUUUCCCUGCGCUGAGGAUAGAGAGCGCCAGGUGCUGCCUGAGGCACGCCUUUCCCGUGCUCCUUUUCCACAAGGCUCUGCCCAGACCUGGCAGCAAAAUGGGGUGAGGUGGGGCUGUGGUGGUCUCUAAGAAAGCAUUGAUGUUUUCAUUGCCAAGGUCAGGAGCGCCUGCAGCCUUGGGUGAUGAUCUGAGGCCAAGGCCCAUCCCUGUGUAUGAGGAAUAGAAACUAGGACAGGAGGCCUUGUGGAGCCUAGGCUGUCUCAGGGGAUCGGCCCUGCUGGCAGGCGGCCCCCUGUGGGAGGUACUGGCAGAGUUCGGAGCUCCUGCCCACCCGGCACAUGGGUCUGGGUCUCCACAAGCUCACCUUUCUUCAUGAGCUGGGCCAGGCCGGGGAGGACACCUGCCUGACAUUAGUGAGUUGUUUUGGGCCGCUGGAGUGGACAGAGGUGAGGGGUGGGACAUGGCCACCCUCAGACACCCUGACCCCUCCUUCCGGACCCCCUCUGUCCAUGUUGCUUUGGGGUGGGGCCAGUGUCUCCAGGAGACACCAUGGCCCUAACUGUAAUGCUCUCCUUGCCAUCCUGACAAGGAGACUGUAUUGUAGUCACACCAAGAGACCUCAGAUCCCAGCCACCUCUGUGUUGUACAUGAGGGAGCUGAGGUCCAGGGCAAGUGAAUAGAUGGAGAACUUGACUUGAACUCCUGGUUCUGCUGCUUAUUAGCUGUGUGACCAUGGACAGUGAGCAAACCUCUCUGAGCUUACUUUUCCCCAUGUACUACCUCCCCAGUUUCUAAUGCUCAAAUGCAAAUGUGUAUUGGAGGCCUCACAGGGCUUUUACUGGUAGUAACCAUUAUUGCUACUUGUGUGAUGGAACCAGGACUGGAAACUACCAUCCCAGAUGCCCCCUCCCCUGUCCCCUUCUCUCCAGGACCCAGGCCUGUGUCACACUUGUCCUGGUCUACCUUUGGACCAAGUGGCCUGGAUUGCUUGGGAGUCAGGCAGUGCCUCUAACCCACACUGACACGGUACUUGUGGGAAGCAGUUGAAAAGAACCCCCAGGGUACCCCAAGAGUUAUGGGGAAGGGGGCGCCCCUCCAUCAGGGUUGGCAUCUUCAGGAGGGAGGACUCUGGGUGUUAAAGCACAGUUGAGUUGGUGCCAGGCUGAUGGGAAACAGACGCAGCUUCCCCACUGUACGGAGGAUAUCUGCAGAUUCGAAGCCAGGCAUUUCACUGGGCCCAUCACACUCCCCCUCUCUCUGGAGCCCUGUCAGGCCCUGGGGGGUGUGCCGGCCUCCUCCCCAUGGUGAGGUGAGAGGCGCAGGUUUGUGGCUGCCCAAGUCCCUCAGAGAUGGUGAGUAGCAGAAGCUGGGAUUGGAACCCAUGUUCCUGCAUCUGGGCUGGGGCAGACAGGGAGGGAUGAGGCAAGCAAAUGGAUCCAUGGGGUAGAGAUGGACAAGCAACUCACACCUGGGCCUUGGUCAGUUUCCCCCACAGACUGCUGCUUCCCCGGAUGAGCAGAAGGUGUUUGCCCUCUGGGAGUCUGGAGACAUGAGUGAUCAGGUGAGGUGAACUUUGCUGCCAUCUUCCCGAAGAGCCAGGGGGGUUUCCUGCAGCGUUGGAGGCCUUGGGGGACAUGUGCACUCAAAGUGCAGCCACACAUUUCAGAUUUUCUGGCACACUCGGUUUUAAAUAUCCUGCUCCAACUCUGUACGCUAACAAAAUAAGCUGUAUGUGCCAAUAGUUUGAACCUAAACCAGUGGUUCCCAGAUGCCAGUCUGUGAGCCAGCUCCAUCAGAAUCAUCUUUUAAAAAAUACAGGCUGGGCAUAGUGGCUCACGCCUGUAAUCCCAGCACUUUGGGAGGCCAAGGUGAGUGGAUCACCUGAGGUUGGGAGUUUGACACCAGCCUGACCAAUAUGGUGAAACCCCAUCUCUACUAAAAAUACCCAUAGUCGUGGGAGGCUGAGACAGGAGAAUUGCUUGAACCUGGGAGAUAGAGGUUGCAGUGAACCGAGAUUGCACCACUGCACUCCAGACUGGGCGACAGAGCAAGACUGUGUCUCAGAAAG
rnacentral:sRNA from 1 species